UACAGAGGGUGCAAGCGUUAAUCGGAAUUACUGGGCGUAAAGCGCGCGUAGGUGGUUUGUUAAGUUGGUGUGAAAUCCCCGGGCUCAACCUGGGAACUGCAUUCAAAACUGACAAGCUAGAGUAUGGUAGAGGGUGGUGGAAUUUCCUGUGUAGCGGUGAAAUGCGUAGAUAUAGGAAGGAACGCCAGUGCUGAAGGCGCCCCCAUGGCCUGAUUCUACACUGAGGUGCGAAAGCGUGGGGAGCAAACAGG
rnacentral:rRNA from 1 species